UAGGAAGUAGCCCUCAGGCAAGAAAAAAAAAGAGAUGAAACCCUGGACCAACAUUGUAACCCCACAAGCUGUGGGAAGCAACUACUCUUUUUCACUUGAAAUAUCCCUGUGAGCUGAUGUGGUCCAUUCUACACUUUGUGGUAAGCCUACAUUGACUGGCACAGACUCACUCUGUGGACGUGCAAGUCAAAUAGUAACAUGGAAAACCUUCUCACUUCUGCUUGAGAGAUACAUCAGAAGAGGAACAAUCUGUUGGGGUCUGCUGAAAAGAAAAAGGAGCUGACUGUAUUGUGGGGUUCAAAUAGCUGUAAUCUGCAGGCAGAUUUUAUUGAUUGUUUCCCUCCCUUUCUUCCCUAGAAGCUCAGCUUUUCUAGAAGAGAGUAAAGGAUGAGGAGUUAUGCUGACAUUUGGAAAAGGGCUAGGAAGUUGACCUGUGUUCAACAUAUCUGCCAUAAAUGAAUGCUCACCAUGAAGUAGUGCACCCACUGCAAGCAAUGCAGUGAAGUGUUCCAGGGCCAAGAGAGUUCCGUCAUGAAUUUAAGGAAAGGAAUUACUUCAUCCAAAAAGGUCUGGACACCUUGAAACAUUCUGGUAUCUCUAAGGAGGAGAUGAUGCACCUUAGGGCUGCCUUGACCUUGCCUGGGGCUUGAUGAUCCUUGAGGUCCCUUCCAACCCAAGCCAUUCUAUAAUUCUAUAGGGCACUUUCACAUUCAGCAACACCAGUAGGAUGCUUGUUCUCAGACGGAGCAAGUAACCUAUGUAUUGACUUGGAAAUUGAGGUGAGUGUUCCUCCACUUUAAGAAUAGUCAGGAUUAGCAAGUGGUGUGAAGGUAUAAAGUUGUUUGUUUGUUUAAAUGACAGCAUAAGGAAUAUCUACCUGAGCCAUUGUAAUUCAGUGUUUCAUUAGCAUGAGAUGCAAGUCUAUUGAGACUUUACUAUUCCAAGUCCAUAAGAAAAUGGGACAAGGCUCCUAAUUCUUAAUGCAGCAAAACACUUAGAAUGAAGGAGAUUUGAAUCCAGGUUUAAAUCUAAACUAAAUCUUGCUGCUUAAGAGGAUUGAAGUUCAGCGUUUGUUGAGUUGAAGCCCAGAAACAAUAAAGCAAUAAAGCAUCUCUUCAACUUUUUUUUUUAAAUUUAAAUUUUGUUCUUCUAAAAUUCCCUGUUCAAAUCUGUGUAACCACCAUCCACAUUCAUUAUGGGAGAAGUGAUGGUAGUUCAGUAGCCAUAGUGCAUCCUCAGCCCCCUGAAUCACACGCUGAACUGAAAUGCUGAAAUAAGCAACAGUAUGGCUUACCCUUUCCUAACCUCUGACUGUAUCGGAAGGAUGAUAAUAUUGCUUAAACCUAAUGUAUAAGAAAGAAAUGGUUUCAUUGUUAUCUGAUGGAGACCCCAUAACAAUGCCACAGUGACAGAGGCUAUAAUGAGGAACUGUAGGAUUUCAAUGGCAAAAGGGAUUCAUUGCUAGUUCAUGACCUCAUGAAGAAAUCAUUACAAUGCCAUCAGAGAUAUGAAGUCGUUAUGGGAAAACUAUUUCAAAGCAAGUCUAGAAGGACCUGUUUGAAGGUGCUGUUAAGAAGUCAUUACAGUGUAAGGUUAUGAUGGCAAAAUGGUUUCAGUGAAACUCUGUUAUAGUCUAAAAAUAAAUUAAAUGGUGUCAGUGAAAAUUAUUCCCCUUCAAAACCUACAGAAAUUAAACAGACCUCUCUCUAAACCAAAACAAUGGUAAAUUAGAAGUUUGACUGACACUUGAUCAGAAGGAGAGUAUGAGGGCUGUUCCAAAAGUAAUGCCUCCUAUGUUACUAUGUUGGCCCACAAUUUCAGAGACAGAUGUCAGUGAUAUGACAGUAGAAGCUGAACCUUCUGACAGUAUUCCAUUACAUUUUGUUGUUGUGUGAUAGAUGGCAGUAGAGGGGCAGACUGACAAAAUAGCAUCUGACAUGGGAGUGCAUAUGAAGCAAAGGUGCGGAAUUGAAUUCCUGCCUGCAGACACAUAGCACCCAUUGACAUUCACUGACCCUGAGGAGAAGAAUUUGGGAGUGUCAGUUGAUGAAAGACUCAACAUAAGCUGGCAGUGUGCAUUUGUAGCCCAGAAGGCCAACCAUAUCCUGGGUUUCAUCAACAGAAAUGUGACCAGCAGGUUGAGUGGUUCUACUCCUCUACUCUGAUCCUGUGUGACCCCACCUGGAGUAAUGUGUCCAGAUCUGGGGCCCCCAGCACAGGAAGGACAUGGAGUUGUUCGAGCUGGUCCACAGGAGGGCCACAAAGAUGAUCAGAGGGCUGGAACAUCUCCCCUGUGCCGGCAGGCUGAGGAAGCUGGGAUUCUUCAGCCUGGACAAGAGAGGGCUCCAGGGGGGACCUUAUAGCAGCCUUCCAGUACCUGAAGGGGGCCUAUAGGGAAGCUGGGGAAGGACUUUUUAUAAGGAUAUGUAGUGACAGGACAAGGGGAAAUGGUUUUAAACUGGAAGAGGGUAGAUUUGCACUAGAUAUUAGAAAGAAAUUCUUUACUGUGAGUGUGGUGAGACACUGGAACAGGUUGCCCAAUGACACUGUGGAUGCCCCCUUCCUGAAAGCACUCAAGACCGGGCUGGAUGGGGCUUUGAGCAACCUGGUCUAGAGGGAGGUGUCCCUGCAUAUAGCAGGGGGGUUGGAACCAGAUGACCAUAAAGGUCCUUUCCAGCCCGAACCAUUCUGUUAUUCUAUGACCCUUGCUGAAAAUUUAUGGAGACCAGACAGUGGAUGUGAGCACAGUGACGUAGUGGGUGGUGAAUUUCAGCAGUGCUGACAGCAACAGUGGGUCACCUCCACUGGUGCAGAUUUUUACGACUGUAGCAUACAGACUUUUGUUCAUCACUAGCAAAAAUGCAUAGCUAAUGCUGUUGUCUAUGUUGAAAAAUAGUGUUCAGUAGCUGAGAAUUUGCUUUAUCAGAUACUGUUAUUGUGCUCUUUGGAUGUGUUAUCGUUUCCAUUGAAAUAAAUAGGAGGCAUUACUUUUGGAGUGACAUACAGAAUUAUGAAUUCUUAAAGCAAUCAAAUAAAAUUUUGGCUGGAGUUACCCAGCUGGAAAAUAAUGUCACUGAGUUUCUAGGAUCUUAAUUUUGUAAAUUAAAAUGAAAUAUCAUCCUCACAUCAAAGUUUAUAGUAAAUAUCAUUCUUCUGUAUCUUCCUUGUUGUAUUGCAAAUUAGUCUAUGAGCACUUUUUGUUUUUCUUAUUGCAUUUCUGACUUGCAUUUGUUCUGAUAGGGCAUAGAUCUAAAAUAAAUUAAAAUUCCACUGCCACUCCUAGCCUAGAAUUUUGAGUGACAGUUGAGACUGUCUGUCAAACUAAAUAGUCUAUUUCAAAACAGUAAAAAUCUCCCCACCCAAGACUCACUUCUCAUCAGUAAUGUGGUUAGUAUUUAUCUGGUUUAAAAUCCAGCCUGAUCUGAUCAUCUACUCUAUCAUUGGUGCUGGAUGGGAAUAAAAUGUACAUUUAGGAGUUGUUUUGGAUGAUUGUACCCCACUACCGAAUAAUUAGAAUAAUAUUUUCACUAAAAGGAAUGUAUUCCUGAAGUACCUCUGAGAUACCAAAAAAAAAUCCAAAUUUUCUUCUUGUGUUUUUUUAUUUUCAGUGAAUAGCUGCCUAUCUGCUGUCCAAAAGCUCAGCUAGAUCUGGUGCAAUACCGUAGACUUUAACUUGGGGCUGCAUGAAUAUUGUGUCAUUUGGGUGCUCACUGCAACUUGGAAGAGAAGAGGAUAUCCAGCACCAUGAGGACAGAAAGUUUCCUAAGGCCAAGAAAACCUUAUUGAAAUGAAAGAUUUCAGCAAAAUAUUCCAGAUUUGACAACUUGGUAACGUCCCUUUCAAAUGAACAUGGAAGAACAUGCAGAUGAAGUCAAAUCUCCGUUGACUGGUUUGUGACCAAUGGGACAGACUUUCCAGGAAUCCUUUCACCUGCCAGCUGCAGGAACUAUUUCCCACGUGAUACUGAAAUUCAUACAGUUCCAUCAUACCUUUUUGGCGAUGAAAAGUACUGGAUGUAGUGUUCUAAAUGUCUGCCCACCAUGCAUUUAACACGGUAAUAUAAUGAUGUUUCCUGGUUUGUUUGCUACACCUUUUCAGUUAAUUCCCUUCCCUAAUAAUAGUUUCUUCAUCUGACAAUUGCUGGCCACUGAGCUAUCUUUUUUUUCUGAGAACUGUUCGUAUGAAGUGAUCAUAAAAUGUACAACUUCACUGAGGAGCUUUUACUGCCUUUUUUAUACUUCUCUCUAAACUUACGCUAUUGGCCUCAGUUGGGCAGAGUAUGAGGCCAGACGGGCCUUACUCAGAAAGGCCAUUCUUAUGUUAUGUUCUUGAGCAGCAGGAGUUAAUAUAUAGGCCGUCAGUAUAUUACUUUUGUUUUUCCCAUGCUUAUGGUUUUGCAUUUAUCAAUGUUGCAGUUCAGCUGACAAUCCACUUGUUAAAGACUGGAGACCUUUUGGAAGUCUCUAUCAUAGCUCCCUGGGAGACUACCUUAGUAAAAUUCCUCCAGAGUGUAACUGGCCUUUUAUUCUUGGUCAUUUACCCUGUCAUUUCAAAAAUAAUUUAUUUAUGCAAGGACUUUCUCUUCUUAUGUGUAGUAGGUUUGGUUCUUUAAGAGUCUAGCAAAGGAACAUCUUCAGAUCCUUUUGUAUCAACCUUCUCCUUGAAGGUUGAUACCUUUUCUCCGCUGCAUGCUGCACCUUGAGUACUGCGUCCAGUUUUGGGCCCCUCACUGUAAGAAAGACAUCGAGGCCCCGGAGCAUGUCCAGAAGAGGGCAACAAAGCUGAUGAGGGGUCUGGAGCACAGGCCUUAUGAAGAGCAGCUGAAGUAGCUGGGAUUGUUCAGUCUAGAGAAGAGGAGGCUCAGGGGAGACCUUAUUGCUCUCUAUAACUACCUGAAGGGAGGUUGUAGUGAGCUGGGGGUCAGCCUCUUCUCUCGGGUGACUAGUGCUAGGACUAGAGGGAAUGGCUUCAAGCUGCGUCAGGGAAGAUUCAGGCUGGACAUUAGGAAAUACUGCUUCUCUGAAAGGGUGGUCAGGCACUGGAAUGGGCUGCUCAGAGAGGUGGUGGAGUCACCGAGCCUGGUGGUGUUCAAAGAGCGUUUGGAUGUUGUGUUGAGGGACAUGGUUUAGCGAGAACCAUUGGUGAAGGGCGAAUGGUUGGACUGGAUGAUCCUGUGGGUCUUUUCCAACCUUAGCGAUUCUAUGAUUCUCCACCUGUUUUUUUUUUUGCUCUUUCAGAGAACUUCAAUCUGUGAGACCUGAUUCCUAGUACAAAAUUAAAUUCUACACCUACUUGUUGUUUUAGAUUUGUAUCUAAUUCCAUGCUUUCUUCUAGAUCCAACCACUUUAUCUAGCAUGAAAAUUGUCAUCUGCAGUUUCCAGUUUCUCUGAGAUCUUUCCAAAAGUUGAAACAUUUUCAGUGCCAAAGCUAAUGUAGCUAAACUACAACUUGCAGAGCAUAGAUUUUUAUGGACAUAUGGAUGAGUUCAGUCUGGGCUGGUCUGUUCAGGAACUCUGUGCUGACUCUCAGCCUUGAAGCCACUCUUAAACAGAUUCCACUCUGCAGAGAAAGACUGCAAAAUGGAAUUCUUAUGUAUAAUGGACAAUAACACACACCAAUCAUUUAACUAGUUUGUUAUUGUCUUAUCUUUUUUUAUUUUUCCUGAACAUUUUGAACAUCACUGGUGACCACUGGCUGGCCUUCUAGUUCUGUGCUGAGAAAGAGGUGUGUUGUUUGGGUUUUGGUUUUUUUUUUUUUUUUUCUUUCCAUAAUUUUCAUGCUUUUAAAAGAUUACUUCCUUAAUCGUUUUGACUUUCCUUAUUGUUGUUUGAUGUUUAAAUAUUUAAUUUAUUCUCUUUCUCAUUUCUCUUAUUUGGACAAAGCUUCUAUUUUCAGUGGAACACCUCCUUUAAAACUAUUCUUUGACAUAUCCACGUGUGAGGUUGGGGUAAGAACACUUCUAAAAUCUUUUUGCUGAGUACUGUGCUUUCGCUGUGAUGUCUUUUAAGUUUCCGUUCUGUUUACAAGCACCUUAUUCUUCCACUGCCACUUUUAUUUUGGCUUUAAUGGGCUUAUUUAUUUCUAUGCAGUUCCCUAUUUCCAGACUCAGUGCUGCAGUUUCUUUUUUGCUCUUACUGGGAGGUUGAAGAUUACCUUGUUACUAUAGGAUGCUUCUUUGACAAAGACUUCAUGAGCAGAGUUCGUGCUCAUCCAAGACUACACCGAGGUUACUGUCUUUUUCUGUGGGGAGUCUUGACCAGAAUUUUCAUCAGUGUCAGUGUUUGAUCUUUUUGCUGAUGCCAACAUUCUGCUUCAGGUAGUGAGAAAAGCCAAAGGCCUCUGGACUGGUUUCUUGUCUAAACAGAGGUUGCACGUGAAACAGCUCUGUUGUAGUGUGCAGUCAGUCUGGUCAUGUGAAAAUGACUUGGAAGAUGAUGGUUGUCCAAACAGCCCCAGCUGAUUUAUAUCCUCUCAUAGCUGUGAACUGAUACUCUUCAGUAGUUGCUUUGCUAGCCAUGAUUAUGAUGUAGCACAUGGGCAUGACGCAUAUGAUGAAUACUGAAGAUACAUGUACAAGCUGCAUGUAGUCCAAGAGCCAUAAACUAUUCCUCCUGACUUUAGAGGUAAGCUUUUUUGUCCUUGGGACACACUUGUGGCUGUGGCCAUCGAUGAAAUGCAUUUUUGUAUCCCUGCAGGCCAGUAGCAAUUUUUAGCCCUUUGAAAUGUGAAGGAUAUUGUGACUCCUUUACUGAUAGAUCUGUUCUUGGAUUGUCCCCUGGCUUGGAUUAUUCUGUGGUAGAUAAAAAAUAUGACUUUUUAUAGGGCUGUGAGUUCCCUAAAUCAGGAAAUAUCUUUUCUGAAUAAUUGGACAUCACUUAAUAGGCAUCACUGCAAAUGCAUUAAUAGUGUAACACCCUCUACUUCAUCCUUUUGACCUCAUCUACAUCAUGUAUAUUUAUUCUUUCCCUGAUAAAAACAUUAACCUCUUAUCUUGCCUUAGGUUCACAUAUUCAUUCACUAUUUGAGAAAACAGAGAGAGAGGAAGGAAGGAAGGAAUGUAGAGGGAGAGGGAGAGAGGGAGGGAUAAAGGAAGAGAGGAGCUUUUAGCAUUCUGUAGCUGAGCUGCCUGAUGUAAUGUGUUAGAGGAUAUAGGUGCCAGUAAUGUGCAAAGAGCUUGAAAAAUGACCAGACAGUGCCAAACCCACAGUGCAUGUUGUCAAGAGGGCUAACAGUAUAAUAAAUCAACCUGUCUCGUGUCAAGGGUCAGGUGGUUUGAUGUUCAAAGCUUUUCGGCCAGCCUGAUCCAGCCAGGCAGAUGCUAUUCAUUUCUGAGCCUCCAGCACUAUUAUGAUACUGGGAUCACCAUAAAGAAGUGCCAGCCCUGUGGUUCUUUGGUCUUUAAGUCAAGAUCCCAAAGGGGAAAAUUAUCCAGGAGAAGAGAGCAAAGUGCUGCUUAGUUUCAAACCUUAUGCUUUCCUCAUAAUUAUUUUUUCAAAGCAGCACUGAGAAAAGCAUGGAAAACCAUGUCAGAUGGAUUUUUCCUAUGCUUUCUGUAUAGGACAGUGAUGCUUAACCUUUUCUUAUCUGAGCAAGCCAUAUGGGCCCACCGUGAUGGGUGGGGACAACUGGCUCUGCCUUCCUCUGUUCAUGUGACCAUGUACCUACUCAAAAGAAAUGUCAUAUUUUGAGUAAGUGGAGGAUGUGAAGCACAAUAUAAUUAAACGAUCCACUCCAGUCACAGCUACUGUACCUUCCUUCCGUGAUGUUUAGAGGGGCUAGAGGGAGGAGACCCUGCCUCUGGCCUGCCAAGCUAGAAGGAGGGUCUUUCCACAUGUGUCUUACACUGUGUCUGCAGGGCUGGAUGAGUGCAGGGAAUCUGCUGUAGGCAUUGCAGGCCAAUCUGAAACUUACAUGUUCAGGAUCUUUAAUUAGCUUUGUUAGUUGGGAAUAUGCAAGGAGAAAGGUUAAAGCAGCAAAUCAGGCUAAUUACAGGCAGGAGGUCCCAGGAGUUCAGAUCAAGUGAUCUUCCCUGGCCCUAAGAGGGAAGCAGUUAACACUGUACUGUCUCUGCCAGUGCCACAGGGCUGCUGUUUUCCCAGUCUUUGGGCUUUAAGAGUGGUAACUCCUGCUUCCUUCAGAACGCCACACAUCUGCAACUGUAAAACUGGGGGCUCUAUAGGCACCAACACAGUGUCCCAAAUUAUCAUAGAAUGGCUUGGGUUUAAAAGGACUCAUCUCUUAGCAAAUUCAUUUCUAAUAGCCUCUUCCCAUUGUUGUAGAAACACUUCUGCACAUUUUCCCCCUCUCCAGCUACAUCAUCAGUGCACUGUUAUUUCUAGUGUUAUAUAAAUUAGAGUCCAAAAUAUUGAAACUAAAAUGUCAUGGGGGAAGUUGGGUUAAAGGAGGCAGCUGAGGUACUGAAACAUCCAAGUGUCAGAGGCAAACUGACAUGAGGACCAAUAACAUGGAGCAAAAAUGCUGGUAGACAUGUUACACAGCAAGUGAUUUUGUAGCAGAUAACAAAUUCUAGAAGAGUAGUUGGGUGAAUUCUGUAUCAGCAGAUACAGAGGAAAUUUCAAUGAUAAUCUGUUGUUGUCCAAAGAGCAAGCAAAAAUAAAACACAUCAGAUACCCAAAAGAAAAUCAGAACUCCAACCCAAAGAAUCCAAAACAAUGAAUACCCAUCAAAACUAUAAAACAAUUAGAUUCAAACAGUGUCUACAGGGAAGAUUUGGUGCGAGUCUUAAAUGGUAGUAGACUGAAUUUGGUUAGUUUGUUUCCAGGAUUUUUCUCAGAGAUUUGUUAACUCCUAUGUUGGAGGGUUAUUUUGCUCAGAGGAACAAAUGUGGGUAUGAUGUAAGUCAUAACCAUAUGUAUUUUGUUUUAUCAUUUCAUAUAUCCUGCGUGGAUAUUAAUUCCACUGCAUGUUUCUACUUUUUUUUUUUCUUCCAGAAAAUAACUCCCCUCACCAAGCCCCGAUGAGUACAGUGGUUGUCUUUUCUCAAAAAGGAAUAAGUCACAAUGAUUCUAUUUUUUUUUUUGUGUGUGUGUUGUUGUUUUUUGUUUGUUUGGUUGGUUGGUUUUUUUUACAUACCCAAAUCCUGUGAAGGACUUCACCAAAUGAAGGUCAGCAGUUGUUGAAGUACUAGUCUGGCAGUAGCCAGAGUCUCCUGCAUCAACAACAUGGAACUAAGUCAACUUUUACUAGCUCCUUUCCCCAUCCACAGACUGCAUGAUAAUGCUUGAAGCCUUUAUAAAUGUAUUUGGGCAAUGUAUAAAAUGUCAUUUGUAUGAGUAAGUGAUUAUCAGCAGAGUGCCUCUCUGAAGGAUCGAAGUGUGAGACAAAAGACAAAAUACAGAUUUGAUCAGUUCAUGACUAUAUGUACAUAGUUAAGAUUUACAAUAUAAAGAUUAUUUUUUCAAAUUAUAAUGCCUGUCAAAUUAUAAUACUGUCACCGUUAAGAGUUUCUGAAAAUCCCACCUACAUAUUCCGGUAGGAAAUUAUGCAAAGGCAAAGUGUUAUGACAGGGAAGACUGCUCUAUCUGCAGUAGUUUUAGGCAAUGUAAUAAUAAAAAUAGAACAAUAGAUUGUAUCAAUAGAGCAAAGAAACAAACAGUGAAGGCAGAGGUCAGAAAGGACCACUUGAUGUAAAAAUAAAAUAUAUUCUUCAGCUAUAGCAGUUAAAUCAGUACUUGUGAUAGCAGAGUUGGACUGUAUUAUCAAGUCAAACUCAGACAGUGAGCAAGGGUAUCAUCUCAGAGACUCAAGGGGAAAACUAUGGAUUAGAACAUGGAAAGAAAAUAUAAGGGAAGAAAAUAUUCAAGGUGUGAAAAACUAUUUCUGCCAGUGGUUAACUGAGGUGAAAUUUUUUGAGGUUUCCAUCCUUCCCAUUGAAAUUUGAGGCCGUCACUACAUGAUAUGUUGUCUUUGGCAGCAAAGCUGGCUAGAAAGUUCCCGAGAUCCACUGCCAUUUCAUUGCUACAUGUGUUUGUUAAUAAAUGCUUAUGUCUCUGCGCUGCUGACAGGUGACUCAGAUGGUAUGCAGUCAAAACAGCCAUUCAAAACUUUUCAGUCUGAAAAAACAAAGGCUCUCUGACCUGAACCAGUUUAGAAUUUGAGGUAGUGUUGUAGGCCACAACACGAGCUUCAGUGAUGAACCAGGAUAGCAUCUGGUAACGACAGGAGAUUUGUGCAAUCUUCCUCUUCAGUAGUUCCACUCAUACAGGAAAGUGACCCAGAGCAGAGGGAUAAAAUAACCUUUGUAUCCUCUUGUACCUGAACAGCAUGAGCUGGUCUGGGGAACGGUCAGCUCUGCCCUUCAGACUUCAAUUGCAUCCGGCCAUGUAUGCUAUGCAGGUUUCUUGUUCACUGGGUGAUCUUGAAGUGGCCUUGCUAAAAGCUCUCUCUGCCAUUUCCAAAGGAGAUAAAUCUACCUAGAGCCCUGGGAAGCAGAAUUGCUCUUCUUUUUGAAGUGAAGGACCAGUGGUGAACUGGCAAUGAUCAUGACAGUGCCCCUCAUUACUCCAGCCCUCAGCACAUGAUCCCAGGCGACAUGCACUCUAUGCUCUGCUGAGGAAGAUCACAGCGAUCUUGAUAUGAUGGCACAGGACAAGAAUACAUAGACUUGGCUGGAUCAAAAGCAAUGUGCUGAGACUCUACAUCAUCUUGGUGCUUCAGGAGACUAAUUUCUGGACUAAACAGUCUUUGAAAUGAUUCCACAUCACGAGCUUCCGUCCCCACCUUAGUCAAGUCCUGUGAUCACCAAGGCAGACAAAGACAAGCACAGAAAACUGAGGACAAAUCAGGAGCUUCACAGACUGUUUUUAAUUGGGAGGAAACAAAAGAAAAAAUAUCACAAUUUGUACAAGAUGGUGAGAUGGACUCAUUUUAUGAGUAAUAAAAUAAACUUUGGUUCUCAUUUAUUCUAAUUGUCCUGAAAGAUCUUCUAGAGGCAAACAUGAGAGACACAAGACAAAUUACAAAAUUUUCAUCCCUAUCACACAAUUUGUCAUGUUACAGAUAUCAGCAAAGAACUAACUUGACUCUGCCUUUAACGCAGGUCAUCUUCUAGAAGUCAUCUUAUUAUGCUACAGUUUUUAAGUUGGGCUGCCCAAAUAGUCUCAAUAUUUUACUGGUAUUGAAGGAAAAAAAUCUCAUGCUAAAUAUAGUGGAAACAAAGCAAAGAAAUAGAGAAUAAUAAUAAAAAAAAUACCACCAGUCCCAAAGAGUCACUGAUUUUAUACUGAUUGCAUCUAGACUGACUUUUAAUGGUCUGAGUCCAGGAUUCCAUUAGUGUUUAAUAAAUGAUGGUAAUGAUAUCCUACCUAAACAAUGCACACAGAGCUCCCAUUGACUUCAACAUGAGUUCUCGGUGCAGACUGAUGGCAGGAUAUUCCUGUGACAGAGAUGAAUUUUCCAUUAGAACAAAAUGAGGAAGACCUGUCUCAGUCAGCAGAAUUCACAGCAACAAGAAAUAUUCCUUGGGGGCUCAGUGAAAGAUGGCCAUCCUGAGUGGUGGAAAGUAAAUUGGGUGGGAAACUGUGAGGCAUACUUGGACAGUUGUAAAACCAAUUAAAACCAUCAUGCAGUUAUAUUGAUGUUUAAUUUGUAUCAUCUGGAAACCACAACUUCCUUUCUCAUCACACCAUGGGGGAAAUUGCUGUUCUUUUUUAUAUGAAGGCAAAGAGUGCAUUUAAUAUUGGGAUAGAAGAGAGAGUGUGUACGUCUAGUACUAUGUCUUGAUUACCAACUUUCACUCAGAAUAGGGAAAGGAAAAAUGAAAUGCUGUUAGUUAUAAACAAUGGAGAACCAUUACCCAUACAGAAAUUUGGGCAACGACACAAAGAAUUCAGCUGAACGUUUUCCUUCAAGGAUUUUGUUAAAAAUACAGUCAAUGAGUUGAUGUGAAGUCAGCUUUGCAUGUGGCAGAGAGGCAGCUAAGUACAACAGGGGCAGAGAGAAACCUCUUUUGGCAUUGCUUUUAUUGUGAAAAAGGGAUAUAUUUUCUGCAAAAAAAAAUAAUUUUGAUUUUGUUAUCAAUUUCUUCUCUUGGAAGACUAUAUGUUUCACUUGAAUAUUUGGGUCAAAAACACAAAACUUUCAACCUUUUCUAAGGUAUUCACUGAAGGGAAAAGGAAAAGGAGUUAAUAUAAGAAAACACAAGUAAUUCAAUUACUUUUUUUGAUAGAUGUUUAAUAACAAUAGAUUGAUGCUAAAUGAACAUGUAUAUUUCCAGGAGCAAAUAUGUAAUUUUUGGAAUGCAUCUUAGAAAAACAGGAUGUAUUUGGCUGGGGAAAUACCUUUGCUUUUUAUGAUAUAUUAAUGAUCUUAGCAAAAAACAUCAUGUCUUAGAAUAGAUGAUUAAAAGGAUGAAGAAAACCAGCAUCUGAGUGAAAAAUCAAAGGCAAAAGUAAUUGUAAGUAAGAUGGAUAGCCAGAAAAAUAUCUCUUCCUUCCCCAUUAAGUUGUUAUGCACUAGCAAUGCAUACUACAGGAUCAGGAUAAUUAGGAAAUCCCAUUAUUUUGUAAAAACCAUUUUUGGAUGGGCAGAACUGAGGUAUCUAUCUAAUAAGUGUGGAUUUUUUAAAUGCAAAACUGUCAGUUCAUGUCUCUACAGUGGUGCAAAUUAGGCACCCAAAAUCCAGAGUGGCUUUUCAGAAUUUUGAUCUGGAUUUCACUCCAAGCUCCUGGAGAAUUGUACUUUUUAUUUAGUAAGAUUCUCAGCUUUUAUUGCUCUAAGAAGUGAUCUUGACAAUUUUCUUUUUCCACUCACAUUAUGGCUUUUACAUGGCCUAGUGCAAAGAAUAUAAAUAUUGCUUGAGCUACUUAUAGGUGCAAAUGGAAAUGUGAAAAUAUUUAUGGCUGAAAUGAAAGUAUAAUCUGUAUUGCUUAAUUAUGAUAAUCCAGGGAAAUUAUUCUCACAUAAUGCCCUAUAAAGCAGUAAAAGGAAAAAUAGCUAGCUGCUCUUUUUUGUUGCUUGCUUCAGAUAGGUCCAGGUAAGAUGUUAGUAAACUUGCAUUUCAUGUUGACUAUCUUGUUUAAGCUGUAUGUUGUAAAAGUAUAGUACUCUAAAUUACAAUUUCUAUUGCUUGCGAAGUGCUGGGAGAAGGCAUAGAUUUCAGUGUAAUAUCAUUCAAACUAAUCUCUGAAUCUGUAGGAAUUCUUGUUUACUUAUUUGUAAUUAUUUAACAUCUGUUGACUUUAGGGUCAUAAAGUUAGUUUAUAGAGUUUAAGAAAGUUUUAAACAGAACCAGAAGUUAUUGCUAGUCCUUCUGGCUGCGAAGUUAUCUUCUUAAUAUAAAGAAUCACUACAGCUAAGUUUAUGGAGUAUGUGGAACUCAUUAAAUUUUUUGUAAAUAUCAAUAGAUUAGUCUUGCCUAAUGUGAAAUUUGGAAAUGUAUGCAUUUAUUGUCAAUUCUUACUUUCAAGUAAGACAGAGAUGGAGAAAAUAAAGUAUUAUGGCUUAUAGAAUCUACAAGGUAUUUCAUCAGGCUUACAUAGCAGGAAGGAUUGCCAACUGUAAGGCUUCAAAGGACUUUCUGAAAAACAAAACAACACAACAAACAUGCUUUACUAACAACAAAAAAAGAUGCAGUGUGUCUUUCCAUGGUGCUCUGUUUUACCCUGUUGGAUAGCUAACAGGAGAGGCAAGCAGUAAAUUUUCAUAUGGCUGGUGAUUCCAAAUAGCUCUAUCUCAUUGCUGCUUAGAUAUCCAAAUGACAGCUGACUCCCCUGACAGUCCCAGUUUUAGGGACUUGGACAGGAGUUCCUCUCUUCCACUUGGUUGUGUACUCCCAUGGUUCUUGGAGAGACUCAGUAUCUUCAGUACUUCUAACACUGUGCCAGAAGUAGCUGAAGCUGGCAAAAUGAUUCACAAGCUACUGAGGGAAAGAAGUCAGACACAGACAACAUAGACUUUAUUUCCUUAGGAGACCAGCUGAAAUCAACUCUAUCUUCAAUCCCAGAUGAAAAGUGGUGAUGGCUCCUAAGGCUGAAUAUGAGCUCCUUGAAGAAAACUGACACUUCCUCUUUCCAGACUAAAUGCUGUGGUGGUGCUGUCUCUCAGCCAUUUCAAACUGACUUGAAACCACACUGCUCCUGAGAGCCUUUUCUUCCCUCUGCUGCUUCACCUGCACUGGUUCUCUAUAUGUUUCUUUGGUGGCUGAUCUCACUGAGAACUGUACAUGCCAAUCAUCAAACUAUAGAAGUGAGAAUGAGCUGGCAAUGGCUUCUCACUUUGCAAAUUAUUUUGCUUUGUUUUAAAAAUGUGUGGAUUAAAGUAUUAUUUUGAAGUUAGCUGUCUUAUGGGACUGCUUUUUGUAACUUCAAAAAGAAUAAAGAUCUGGCAGUUUGGCAUUUGGAAGAAAACAAUGAGUUACCCUUUCUGUAGUUUCAGAAAGGGGUACAGGCCUAAUUUAUCUUCCUUUGUGCACAGUGGAAGAGCCU
ensembl:lncRNA